UACGUAGGGGGCGAGCGUUGUCCGGAUUUAUUGGGCGUAAAGAGCUCGUAGGCGGUUUGGCAAGUCGGGUGUGAAAACUCCGGGCUCAACUCGGAGACGCCACUCGAUACUGCCAUGACUCGAGUCCGGUAGGGGAGUGCGGAAUUCCUGGUGUAGCGGUGAAAUGCGCAGAUAUCAGGAGGAACACCGGUGGCGAAGGCGGGUCUCUGGGCAACAACUGACGCUGAGGAGCGAAAGCGUGGGGGAGCGAACAGG
rnacentral:rRNA from 1 species